AAAGCGUGCGCAGGCGGUUUUGUAAGACUGUCGUGAAAUCCCCGGGCUCAACCUGGGAAUGGCGAUGGUGACUGCAAGGCUAGAGUUUGGCAGAGGGGGGUAGAAUUCCACGUGUAGCAGUGAAAUGCGUAGAUAUGUGGAAGAACACCGAUGGCGAAGGCAGCCCCCUGGGUCAAAACUGACGCUCAUGCACGAAAGCGUGGGGAGCAAACAGGAUUAGAUACCCCGGU
rnacentral:rRNA from 1 species